AACAUUCCUAACCUCAUCAGGGCUUUAUGAACCUCAGCUGACAAAUUAGUUCAUCUCUCUUAACAUAAAGCACAUCAACCUUCAGUUAUGUCUUCUAAGGGCAGGGCAUUCUUCAGUAAUCGUUUCCAGCAGGAGGAUGUGUAAGUGACGGCUCUUCAGGAAAACACACGGCUCAAUUUAGUGGACACAUGUGAAUGAUGUCCUUGCUGUUGUCCACGUCGAGAGCCUGGAUAUGAAAAUUCAGGCCCACAGGCAGGAUCCAAGGUGAUACACUCGGGCUUGUGGUGACCCUUGAGAUGACACAUCUGAAAGAGACGGCGCUGCAGCAGGGAAGAUUCUGCUCUACGUCAGUGGUUAUCGACAUCAAAAAGGGUAAUUACGGAGGGUGUUGGCUUGGAAGCAUCAUCCCCAAAUCUUCUCGCCUGUCUCGGGGUAAGUUCCUUAGCAUGCAGCUGCUGGAAGACAGAUCCCCUCUGAGGCUUUACUCCAGCUUUACUGUGCCACCCAUAAAAGUUUAAUCCGUGUUCCGACGACAGGUUAGCUGAACCAAAAAUACAAACAUUAUCCUCUAAUGGAGUUGUGAAGAGAUGUGCACAGUUUGAGAUGGAAGGCUACAGGACAGAUGACGGCAUGGUGAUGAAUUUUUAGACGUCCUAAGCUGCUUCCACUGUGUUUCACAAUGUCUACCACUGACAGGCAGAUAUUGUAUAAAAAUGAUGACAUUCUUUAGGUUUUCUACUCUGUGUGCCAUUUAUUUAUUACAGUAUAAACAUGUUGUCAAAAUUGUUGUUGCUGCUCUUGCUUCCAUUGCUGUAAUCUUUCAAUAUAUAUAGAGAGUGGCUUGCAAUAGUAUUUAUGCCCCUUAAAUCUUUUUUAGAUGCUGAUUUGUAAGAACCAUAAACUUCAAUGUAAAAUAUUAUACUGCCAUUUUAUGUGAUAAAUCUAAACAAAACAGCUUAUAAUGUAAAAGUGGGAGGAGUAGGACAUAUUUAUUGAGCCCCACUGCAAUGAUAGCUGCAGGUCGUCUGGGAGAUAUUUUUUUUAUCAGUUUUACACAACAGACUGGCAUUUUUGCCCAUGCUCCUUUUCAGAACAGGUCAAACUCAGUCAGAUUGAAUGGAAAGUCUCUGUGGACAGUAAUUUUCAAGUCUUAUGUCUCAUUCUCAAUCUGGGCUUUGACUAGGCCAUUGGAAUACAUAAAUCUCCUUUGAUCGAAACCAGUCCAUUGCCGCUCUGGCUCCAUGUUUAGGUUAACUAGGUGAACCUUUGCUCCAGUCUAAAGUCUUUGGCUUUUAUUUUUUAAAUGUAUUUAUCUUUGUUUG